UGCCAGCAGCCGCGGUAAUACGUACUGUGCGAACGUUAUUCGGAAUUACUGGGCGUAAAGCGCACGUAGGCGGAUUGGAAAGUUGGGGGUGAAAUCCCGGGGCUCAACCCCGGAACUGCCUCUAAUACUGCUAGUCUUGAGUUCGAGAGAGGUGAGUGGAAUUCCGAGUGUAGAGGUGAAAUUCGUAGAUAUUCGGAGGAACACCAGUGGCGAAGGCGGCUCACUGGCUCGAUACUGACGCUGAGGUGCGAAAGUGUGGGGAGCAAACAGGAUUAGAUA
rnacentral:rRNA from 1 species